CGAGUGGUCGGGACGAUUAUUGGGCCUAAAGCAUCCGUAUCCGGUUUUACAAGUCUUCCGUUAAAUCCAGCCGCUCAACGGAUGGGCCGCGGAGGAUACUGUAGAACUAGGAGGCGGGAGAGGCAAGCGGUACUUAGUGGGUAGGGGUAAAAUCCACUGAUCCAUUGAAGACCACCAGUGGCGAAGGCGGCUUGCCAGAACGCGCUCGACGGUGAGGGAUGAAAGCUGGGGGAGCAAACCGGAUUAGAUACCCGGGUAGUCCCAGCUGUAAACGAUGCAGACUCGGUGAUGGGCUAGCCUUGUGCCAGCCCAGUGCCGCAGGGAAGCCGUUAAGUCUGCCGCCUGGGGAGUACGGUCGCAAGACUGAAACUUAAAGG
rnacentral:rRNA from 1 species